AAACCAACAGGGAUUGCCCCAGUAACGGCGAGUGAAGCGGCAACAGCUCAAAUUUGAAAUCUGGCCCCCAGGGCCCGAGUUGUAAUUUGCAGAGGAUGCUUUUGGCGCGGUGCCUUCCGAGUUCCCUGGAACGGGACGCCAUAGAGGGUGAGAGCCCCGUCUGGUCGGACGCCUAGCCUGUGUAAAGCUCCUUCGACGAGUCGAGUAGUUUGGGAAUGCUGCUCUAAAUGGGAGGUAUAUGUCUUCUAAAGCUAAAUACCGGCCAGAGACCGAUAGCGCACAAGUAGAGUGAUCGAAAGAUGAAAAGCACUUUGAAAAGAGGGUUAAAUAGUACGUGAAAUUGUUGAAAGGGAAGCGCUUGUGACCAGACUUGGGCCCGGUGGAUCAUCCAGCGUUCUCGCUGGUGCACUCCGCCGGGUUCAGGCCAGCAUCAGUUCGCCGCGGGGGAAAAAGGCUUCGGGAACGUGGCUCCUACGGGAGUGUUAUAGCCCGUUGCAUAAUACCCUGGGGCGGACUGAGGUUCGCGCUCCGCAAGGAUGCUGGCGUAAUGGUCAUCAGCGAC
rnacentral:rRNA from 1 species